GGGGGCAGAAGGCUAAGUUAGCAGUUAGCUGGAUUCCAGUUCCUGAUCGGCUCCCUUGUUGCUCUCUUGGUGUUUCUGCUGUUAUUUCUUAAAUCUUCUUCCUAUUUUAACAUGAAAUCAGUGUUUUAUCUGUCAGUGUGAACUAGAAGCAGCUCCACAGAGAUGAGAACAUCCCGCAGAGACUCUGAGCGGAGCUAACGAUGCUAACUGAAUAGCAGCAGCAGCAGCUUGUUUUAUACUCAGUGAUUCUGGUGAAUGUUGAUGUUCUGAUUGAUUAGCUGCUGCUUUUUGUCCAGUGAUGGUGACAAUAUUUGAUCAGUUCAUUUACAGAAAGUGGGUUUUAGUGGAACCGCAUUAACACGGUCCUGGUCUGAUCUCUCUGACAGAAUCUAAACAGCUGAUUGAGAAUCUUCAUCCAGCUGGAAGUGAGAGGAUGAGGAGCUGAGGCACUUCAAGAUGCGGGACCCCCGCAGGGAGGGAGGAGACCAGAGGAGGGUCAGCUGCUGCUGCUGAAGGUCACGCUGAGGUGGUCCGCUUCCUGCUGGGAGGCCUGUAAGGUCAACCCGGUCCCCAAGGACAGGUGGGGCAACACGCCGAUGGACGAGGCGGUGCACUUCGGCCAUCACGACGUGGUCACCAUCCUCAGAGACUACCACACCCAGUACAGCCCUCAGGAUGCCGCCGCCGCCACCGCCGCCGACUCGCAGAGCGCCGAGAAGAACCUGGACGGCAUGCUGUGACUUCCUGGAGGCUCCUUCAGUAUAAAAGCUCCUCAUCAUGUUUAUCUGUUCUGCCAGAUUGAAUGGACCGGUUCUGACCGAGCCGCAGUCAGAAGGGAUGAAUGUUCAGGUGGCAGGAAGUGUUACCACGGUAACGACCUUCACCAGAACCAGUAAGACCUGCUGGGUGAAGUUCUGGUCCAAGAUUCGGCUGAAUCCUGAAUAUUCUCCCUGCUGAUG